rnacentral:lncRNA from 1 species
GGCUAGCUAGAAACAUAUAGGAAACAUAUUUCUAAGUUUUCUUAUGGAACCGUAGAAAUUAUAUUUUAACCGAAUUAGUGUAAUAUGAAAGACGUGUUACCAUGUAAUUAAGCAAAUAAAAAAAAAAUUUCUCACAAUACAUUUUCCCCAGAUAUAACACACUAAUUCUCUUCAUAUUCCAAAUAACAUAUUCUUCCUGCAAUCUCUUACGAUAACAGUUAACUUUUCGCUAAAUAUAACAGAUAAUUAAGUCUCUUCAAGCCAUCCUUUCAAUAUCUACGGAAUUUCUCGUAUGGCCUCAAAGUGUUGAUUUUUUGCAAUACCAACAUACAGUAUUGAUAUAAAUCCUUUGU